CGAUUUCCUAUCUCAUGCGGCCAUUGUUGGGUUCAUGGGUGGGGCAGCCAUCACAAUUGCUCUGUAACAGCUCAAAGGUUUCCUUGGCAUAAAGAAUUUUACUAAGAAGACGGAUAUGAUUCCGGUUUUGUGUUUGGUAUGGAGUUUUGUACAUCACGGGUGGAAUUGGUAGACAAUCCUCAUAGGAUCAGUCUUCUUGGUUUUCCUUCUAGUUACCAAAUACAUUGGGAAGAAGAAGAAGAGCCUUUUCUGGGUGCCCGUGAUCGCCCCUUUGAUCUCUGUUAUUCUCUUGACCUUUUUCGUGUAUAUUACACAUGCAGAAAAGCAUGGUGUUAAAAUUGGAAAUUUCCGAACUUUGUAGAGUUAACAUCUCUAUUUUAUCUAAUAUUAGUCAACUAAUAGUGCUGCAAAUGUCUGAAAGGUGAAAGACAUACAAAGGGGUAUAAAUCUGUCAUACUUGGACCAAAUUCAUUUCAGUGGUGAAUUUGCUGUGAAGGGAUUCAGAAUUGGUGCAGUGGCUGGUAUGAUAGCAUUAACUGUAUGCCUACUCCACACACAUAAAGAAUCCUAAUUUUUAAGACAUGCUGCUUGCAAACAUCUAUCUGCAAAUGCAAGACAAGUAGUCACACACAUGUGAGAUUCGGGCCCUUCAUAAGGUAGGCCCCAAGGUGAAUGCCCCCUAUUCCAAAAAUCAGGCCAGUUCAUGCACAGGGUGGCUGCGCAUGUAUAUUGAAUGAGGAACAUUUGAUUUUCU